rnacentral:rRNA from 1 species
AUACGUAGGGGGCAAGCGUUAUCCGGAUUUACUGGGUGUAAAGGGAGCGUAGACGGAAGGCCAAGUCUGAUGUGAAAGCCCGCGGCUCAACUGCGGGACUGCAUUGGAAACUGGUCAUCUGGAGUGCAGGAGGGGUAAGCGGAAUUCCUAGUGUAGCGGUGAAAUGCGUAGAUAUUAGGAGGAACACCGGUGGCGAAGGCGGCUUACUGGGCUGUAACUGAAGUUGAGGCUCGAAAGAGUGGGGAGAAAAAAGGAUUAGAUCCCCUGGUGGUCCACGCCGUAAACGAGGAAUACUAGGUGGUGGGUUACUAUAGAGAUUCGGUGCCGCAGCAAACGCAAUAAGUAUUCCACCUGGGGAGUACGUUCGCAAGGAUGAAACUCAAAUGAAUUGACGGGG